rnacentral:rRNA from 1 species
UCAGGAUGAACGCUGGCGGCGUGCCUAAUACAUGCAAGUCGAGCGAACAGAUAAGGAGCUUGCUCCUUUGACGUUAGCGGCGGACGGGUGAGCAACACGUGGGUAACCUACCUAUAAGACUGGAAUAACUCCGGGAAACCGGGGCUAAUGCCGGAUAACAUGUUGAACCGCAUGGUUCUACAGUGAAAGGCGGCUUUGCUGUCACUUAUAGAUGGACCCGCGCCGUAUUAGCUAGUUGGUGAGGUAACGGCUCACCAAGGCAACGAUACGUAGCCGACCUGAGAGGGUGAUCGGCCACACUGGAACUGAGACACGGUCCAGACUCCUACGGGAGGCAGCAGUAGGGAAUCUUCCGCAAUGGGCGAAAGCUGACGGAGCAACGCCGCGUGAGUGAUGAAGGUCUUCGGAUCGUAAAACUCUGUUAUUAGGGAAGAACAAAUGCGUAAGUAACUGUGCGCGUCUUGACGGUACCUAAUCAGAAAGCCACGGCUAACUACGUGCCAGCAGCCGCGGUAAUACGUAGGUGGCAAGCGUUAUCCGGAAUUAUUGGGCGUAAAGCGCGCGUAGGCGGUUUUUUAAGUCUGAUGUGAAAGCCCACGGCUCAACCGUGGAGGGUCAUUGGAAACUGAAAAACUUGAGUGCAGAAGAGGGAAGUGGAAUUCCAUGUGUAGCGGUGAAAUGCGCAGAGAUAUGGAGGAACACCAGUGGCGAAGGCGACUUUCUGAUCUGUAACUGACGCUGAUGUGCGAAAGCGUGGGGAUCAAACAGGAUUGGAUGAC